rnacentral:rRNA from 1 species
AACGAACGCUGGCGGCAUGCCUAACACAUGCAAGUCGAACGAGACCUUCGGGUCUAGUGGCGCACGGGUGCGUAACGCGUGGGAAUCUGCCCUGGGGUGCGGAAUAACUCGGAGAAAUCCGUGCUAAUACCGCAUAAUGUCUUCGGACCAAAGAUUUAUCGCCCUGGGAUGAGCCCGCGUAGGAUUAGCUAGUUGGUGGGGUAAAGGCCUACCAAGGCGACGAUCCUUAGCUGGUCUGAGAGGAUGAUCAGCCACACUGGGACUGAGACACGGCCCAGACUCCUACGGGAGGCAGCAGUGGGGAAUAUUGGACAAUGGGCGAAAGCCUGAUCCAGCAAUGCCGCGUGAGUGAUGAAGGCCCUAGGGUUGUAAAGCUCUUUACCCGGGAUGAUAAUGACAGUACCGGGAGAAUAAGCUCCGGCUAACUCCGUGCCAGCAGCCGCGGUAAU